GCCGGGAUAGCUCAGCUGGGAGAGCAACAGACUGAAGAGCUUCCUAGGAAGCUGUGAGUUCUGGAGGUCGCGUGUUCAAUCCACGCUCCUGGCA